rnacentral:tRNA from 1 species
GCUGGUGUGCUCAGUGGUUAGAGCAUUGGCCUGCUCACCAAAGGGUCAAGGGUUCGAUUCCUUGUCAAGGGCA